rnacentral:misc_RNA from 1 species
UCCUUUUUGGUUUGGGUUUGUCUCUUGUUGGCUCAUCCUGGCAUCAAUAUCCAUCUUCUGUUGUGAUCCCAAGAGAUUUAUAUCUGUUGGAGACAUUAUGCUUUCUGGUGGCAAGCUUGCUCUGGUCUCUUGUUAUCUUGCCAUGUAGAAACAUGAAGCUUGAUAGGGUCUUGGGGGCAGGGCUUCUGGCUAUAUACACAAUUUCUAUGUCUGUGAGGCUGAUUCAAAUACUUGGGUCUUUCCAAUUUCAAGUUACAUAUACCUAGCCCUGGCAACUUUUCUUGGAAACCAUGUAAUUCCACCUACUAACCACUUUCUUUGUACAGUCAGUGAUCAUCAAUUGC